AUUGAACGCUGGCGGCAGGCCUAACACAUGCAAGUCGAACGAGUGGCGGACGGGUGAGUAAUGUGUGGGACACUGCUCGAUGGAGGGGGAUAACUACUGGAAACGGUAGCUAAUACCGCAUACCUUCGGAUGUGCGCUGAUUGGAUUAGCUAGUAGGUGGGGUAACGGCUCACCUAGGCGACGAUCCCUAGCUGGUCUGAGAGGAUGACCAGCCACACUGGAACUGAGACACGGUCCAGACUCCUACGGGAGGCAGCAGUGGGGAAUCUUGCGCAAUGGGCGCAAGCCUGAUGCAGCAACGCCGCGUGUAUGAAGAAGGCCUUCGGGUCGUAAAGUACUUUCAGCGGGGAGGCGUUACCCGCAGAGGAAGCACCGGCUAACUCCGUGCCAGCAGCCGCGGUAAUUC
rnacentral:rRNA from 1 species